GUCAACAACAACAACAUGCUCAGUGAGAUGUAAACAAAUGUACUUCCUGCUUAAAGCAGCCGGAAUUUGAUAGAUUUCAACGGUGGGUUUAAAUAAGUUAGCAGUGCAAAAAAGUUCAAUGGUUGGGACUGAAGGCCUUGUUUUGAGGGUGUUUUGCAGACCAGUGGUUGUCGGCCUGGUGAUUUUCAAGAAAAACUGUAGACUGCCCCCUUAAGGUUGGGACUGAAGGCCUUGUUUUGAGGGUGUUUUGCAGACCAGUGGUUGUCGGCCUGGUGAUUUUCAAGAAAAACUGUAGACUGCCCCCUUCGUAUUUGUGCGUCGUUGUGUCUUUGUGCGAUUUAGCAGCAGUUAGUAGGACCG